GAUGAACGCUAGCGACAGGCUUAACACAUGCAAGUCGAGGGGCAGCGAGGGCGUAGCAAUACGCCUGUCGGCGACCGGCGCACUGGUGAGUAACACGUAUGCGACCUGCCCCCUACAGGGGUAUAACCCGUAGAAAUGCGGACUAAUCCCCCAUAGUCCCGCGGGCUGCAUGGCCUGCGGGGGAAAGGGUUUCCGGUAGGGGAUGGGCAUGCGGCGCAUUAGCUAGUUGGCGGGGCAAACGGCCCACCAAGGCGACGAUGCGUAGGGGUUCUGAGAGGAAGGUCCCCCACACUGGUACUGAGACACGGACCAGACUCCUACGGGAGGCAGCAGUGAGGAAUAUUGGUCAAUGGGCGCAGGCCUGAACCAGCCAAGUCGCGUGAGGGAGGACGGUCCUACGGAUUGUAAACCNCUUUUGUCGGGGAGUAAACCGUGCGGGACGCGUCCCGUAUUGAGAGUACCCG
rnacentral:rRNA from 1 species